CUCUGGUGAUGGUGAAGAGUUUCCACAGGAGGCGACUAAGUUCCUCAAGAAGAAACAGCCAUCUAAGAAGGUCAAGAAAGAAAAGGGAGAAAAGGAAGCAGUCAAAGAGCCGUCGGUGGUACCAGACCCACCACAAUCUGUGAAGAAGGAGAAGUCGUCCAAAGAAAAGGAGUCAAAGAAGGAGUCCUCCUCUUCCUCUUCCUCCUCUAAGGAAAAAAAGGAGUCUUCAUCAAAGGAGAAGAGGGAAAAGGACAAAGACAAGGAGUCGGGGGAUAAGAAAGUGUCCCGAAAGUCGUCGGUAAAAGUGAAAGAGAAGAAGAAAGAGCCAGAAGCAGUGGACGACUAACAAGCAGCGCAGAAUAAUCUCCCAUGAUAUCUUUACCAUAAACACAGCAUAAGAUACAUGGCUAAACAUCAUCCACAUAUCAUCACACAUGUAUAAAUAUUUGUAUAUUUAUAAACAGUGUAUGAGUAAACAUUUACAGGGGCCGUGUAAUCCAACACUGCGCUGAUACACAAUCACAUAUGUGCAGAGAAUACACACAGAAACUUAAGAAAAAGUCACAGAGGCCAAGCAAUUUCCCCUCAGACACAUAUUUUACACACAUUCGUCAACCAUAACAUAUUUAGUCAUUUCUGUGACCCCCCCCACACCCAUCCCGCCCACACACCACACUGAACCCUCCAGAAUAGAUCAACCAACACGUCCAGCCACCUCGCUGCUUCUGGGUAAUUCAAGGCCACCUCUGACCUCCACCAGGGUUUUUAUUUCAAAUCUGGGACACUCCAGGAUAUGCAGUGGCUCAUGGACUCAAACAUGAUUUCCAGGGAUUGAAACCAGGGUCUGUUUUUGUGCAACUGGAAAACCAAAAAUGGCUUUUUUUGGGAUCUGCUCAGAGAGUUUCUGCUCAUAAUCAGCAACUUUGUAAAUGAAGCCACAGCUUUAAAUACGAACGAAUGAUGAUGUGAUUAUUAGAUGAGUAUCAGUAGUGCCACAGCACAUGUGUCAAACUCAAGGCUCGGGGGCCAAAUCUGGCCCUAUAGAGCAGCGUUUCUCAAAUGGGGGUACGCAAUGGCACUACAAAACCCUAUAUUAAAAAUAUAGGGUUUUGUAAUGUUUAUAUUUACUUAAAAAUGAUAAUCAUAAUAAUGAUGAUGGAAUUAUCGUGAUUAGAACAUGAACUGAAAAUAUAAAGGUCAGUCUUGAUCCCACACCAGGCAGGAGAUGACUGGAAAUUAUAAAGAUAUAUAGAAGUAAAUCUAUUCAGGAGGCACUAAAUACUGUUUCAUUCCACUUAUUUACAAAAUGAAAUUCUUUAAAAUGUGUAUCAGUCAUUCAUUCCAUC
rnacentral:lncRNA from 1 species